CCGGGAGCCGGGCGGUGCGAGCGCCUCGCCUCGAGCUGCGGGCUCCAUCGAUCUGACGCACCGCACUGCGCUCCGUUUUAUCUAUCUAAUUUAACCGGAAGAGGGGAGAUUUAGACUGGGUAUAAGGUUUUUGACGAUAAGGGCUGUGAGGCACUGGCACAGGUUGCCCAGAGGGGUGGUGGAUGCCACAUCCCUGGUGACAUCCAGGGUUGGACUGAACGGGGCUCUGAGCAACUUGAUCCAGCUGUAGGUGUCCCUGUUCAUUGCAGGGGAGUCGGACUAAAUGGUCUGUAAGGCCCGCUGAGCAGAAGAAGAGAGCAAGAUGAACUCCUACCCCCCUUCAAAACUCCUUCACAAAAUCAAAUGAACCAAAACAUAGCAUCAUACCAGACACUUUGAAGGAAACAAUUCCAUCCCAGCUGAAGCAAAGGCAGAUGGCCAUGAUCCCACACCUUGGAUUUGUCCCCAGGCAUCAGGAGCUGUUCAGUACCUGUCCUGCGUGUGGCUACACAGGGUUUUUAUAGGAAUUACAGAUAGAUGAAAAGGCUGUCUCCUCCACCGAAACCCUCUAAGCACUUUUCCAUUGCAUGCAUCCAUUAUGCAAAACGAG
ensembl:lncRNA